rnacentral:rRNA from 1 species
GAUAAACGCUGGCGGCGUGCCUAAUACAUGCAAGUCGAGCGAACAGACGAGGAGCUUGCUCCUCUGACGUUAGCGGCGGACGGGUGAGUAACACGUGGAUAACCUACCUAUAAGACUGGGAUAACUUCGGGAAACCGGAGCUAAUACCGGAUAAUAUAUUGAACCGCAUGGUUCAAUAGUGAAAGACGGUUUUGCCGUCACUUAUAGAUGGAUCCGCGCCGCAUUAGCUAGUUGGUAAGGUAACGGCUUACCAAGGCAACGAUGCGUAGCCGACCUGAGAGGGUGAUCGGCCACACUGGAACUGAGACACGGUCCAGACUCCUACGGGAGGCAGCAGUAGGGAAUCUUCCGCAAUGGGCGAAAGCCUGACGGAGCAACGCCGCGUGAGUGAUGAAGGUCUUCGGAUCGUAAAACUCUGUUAUUAGGGAAGAACAAAUGUGUAAGUAACUAUGCACGUCUUGACGGUACCUAAUCAGAAAGCCACGGCUAACUACGUG